rnacentral:ncRNA from 2 species
GCAGAGUAGGCUCUGGCGCGUUAAGUGCUCAUGGACGGGGAGUUGUCAUGAGACGAAGGCGGACUUUCCGCCGCGGUGCCAUCGCCGCAUCCCACUGC